rnacentral:rRNA from 1 species
AGUAACAUCCGGAAACGGGGUGCUAAUACCGCAUAGUUUUCUUGAUCGCAUGAUUGAGAAGGAAAGACGGCCUUUGUGCUGUCGCUUAUGGAUGGACCCGCGGCGUAUUAGUUAGUUGGUGAGGUAACGGCUCACCAAGACGAUGAUACGUAGCCGACCUGAGAGGGUGAUCGGCCACAUUGGGACUGAGACACGGCCCAAACUCCUACGGGAGGCAGCAGUAGGGAAUCUUCCGCAAUGGACGAAAGUCUGACGGAGCAACGCCGCGUGAGUGAAGAAGGUUUUCGGGAAUCGUAAAACUCUGUUGUCAGAGAAGAACAAGUUGGAGAGUAACUGCUCCAGCCUUGACGGUAUCUGACCAGAAAGCCACGGCUAACUACGUGCCAGCAGCAGC